ACAAAAAAAUAUCAGAUAAAUGAUGAUACUUAAUUAAAACUAUACAUAAUCUAUCAAUAAAUUUACAUAGUACGUUUAAGGACUUAUGUAAAAUACUCAAUAAAUUGAACACUAUAAUUCCUAGUUGAACUCAACUGUGACUGGUGUAAUCAAUGAGGAUCACUUAUACAAUUAAUUUAAAUACAAUCAUGAAAGUUACAAUUCAAAAUGAAUUUCGACAUGUGUCGAUGGUUUGACGUGUGUAGUACAAGAUACAGUCAGAACAGUUGUCCACACGGUCGGACGUUAUUGUCGACGUCUAGACCACUGUCAAACGUUGGUCUGCCAAUGCUUGUCGUAUGGGGUGAUAGUAAAAACAGUCAAAACUGAUACUCAGAAUACCAACCGUGACAGGAUAUGCCACCAAAUAUGCGAUAAAUAAUAUCGACGUAAUUAAUUCAUGAAAUCGUAUUGUCAGCACAGAGGUAACUAACCAAAUGUUCAAGAUUUGCCCUUAAAAACUAUCGAAGACUAGAUAGUAUGAAACGACCACAGUAAAUGGAAUAGGUAUGAUGUAUGAUUUCAUAAAUAUGUCAACAACAAAAAAUAUAUCAUUGAAUUAUAAAUUAUAAUUCCUUCUUUAAAGAUUAAAUAAAUUAUAAAAGACGAAAACAAACAAUAAGAAUCUUUCACCAAUAAUUAGACACAAUUCAUUAUU